rnacentral:rRNA from 1 species
UUGGAGGGCAAGUCUGGUGCCAGCAGCCGCGGUAAUUCCAGCUCCAAUAGCGUAUAUUAAAGUUGUUGCAGUUAAAAAGCUCGUAGUUGAAUUUCGGGGUUAGUAGGUUGGUCAUGCCUCUGGUAUGUACUGAUCCCACUGAUUCCUCCUUCCUUAUGAACCGUAAUGCCAUUAAUUUGGUGUUGCGGGGAAUUUGGACUGUUACUUUGAAAAAAUUAGAGUGUUUAAAGCAGGCUAACGCUUGAAUACAUUAGCAUGGAAUAAUGAAAUAGGACGUUCGAUCUUAUUUUGUUGGUUUCUAGGAUUGACGUAAUGAUUAAUAGGGAUAGUUGGGGGCAUUAGUAUUCAAUUGUCAGAGGUGAAAUUCUUGGAUUUAUUGAAGACUAACUACUGCGAAAGCAUUUGCCAAGGAUGUUUUCAUUAAUCAAGAACGAAAGUUAGGGGAUCGAAGACGAUCAGGUACCGUCGUAGUCUUAACCAUAAACUAUGCCGACUAGGGAUCGGAUGAUGUUAAUUUUUUAAUGACUCAUUCGGCACCUUACGGGAAAC